rnacentral:lncRNA from 1 species
GUCUUUAUUCUUAAUUAAUAUUUUCUACACUAUUACCAGAAUAAAUUUGUUUUUAAGUUCAGCUGUAAGGAUAAUUCCUUGCCCAAAAUGUUAUGUUCUGAUUUAUUUUCUCUGCAAAUGUGAAAGUUCUUGCCUUUAAAGCACUCGCUGGGCCAUCACUAAAUACAUAAAUACAUACAAAUAUUUCAAAAUCAUAUUUAAGUCAACUAAUGCGCUUCCUUGGCAAGACGUUCAGUUAAUUUGGAACUGGGCACAUUUUCUUUGUCAGGUGCAGCUGCAACUGCUGCUCUGUAAAUCAACGAAUGUUGUCACAUUGCGCCUGUUAGUUGGUUUGGCUCGUUUUCAAUAUUUAAUACCCCACAAAUCGUCUUAAGACGAUAACCAACUGAAGCCAAGCCAAGCCAUGGCAAGUCGAGCCAACCCAGCCCCAGACCAAGCCAACUUAACUCAACCCAACCGAACCGAACCGAACUGAACUCAGCUCGAACGGAACGGAACGGGACGGGCCUGGGGCCUGGGGCCUGGCCGGGCCGGAUCG